rnacentral:pre_miRNA from 1 species
UCUGAACCCUUGGAUAAAUCAUAAACUCUAGGGUUUAAUUUUAAAUAUUUAAACCCUAGAGUUUAUGAUUUAUCCAAGGGUUCAGAGUUU